UGGGGAAUUUUGGACAAUGGGGGAAACCCUGAUCCAGCCAUCCCGCGUGUGCGAUGAAGGCCUUCGGGUUGUAAAGCACUUUUGGCAGGAAAGAAACGUCGCGGGUUAAUACCCCGCGAAACUGACGGUACCUGCAGAAUAAGCACCGGCUAACUACGUGCCAGCAGCCGCGGUAAUACGUAGGGUGCAAGCGUUAAUCGGAAUUACUGGGCGUAAAGCGUGCGCAGGCGGUUCGGAAAGAAAGAUGUGAAAUCCCAGAGCUUAACUUUGGAACUGCAUUUUUAACUACCGGGCUAGAGUGUGUCAGAGGGAGGUGGAAUUCCGCGUGUAGCAGUGAAAUGCGUAGAUAUGCGGAGGAACACCGAUGGCGAAGGCAGCCUCCUGGGAUAACACUGGCGCUCAUGCACGAAAGCGUGGGGAGCAAACAGGAUUAGAUACCCUGGUAGUCCACGCCCUAAACGAUGUCAACUAGCUGUUGGGGCCUUCGGGCCUUGGUAGCGCAGCUAACGCGUGAAGUUGACCGCCUGGGGAGUACGGUCGCAAGAUUAAAACUCAAAGGAAUUGAC
rnacentral:rRNA from 1 species